rnacentral:sRNA from 2 species
UAUUCUGCCCUACGGGGAAGGAUGAGAAGCUUCGACUAAGGUUCGACUCGAGCGUAGCGAGAGAACGUUGCCGCAGGCAACGGCCCGAAGGGCGAGGUGCUUUAGCGCCGAGUCAUCCUUCCCCCACCGCUG